rnacentral:rRNA from 1 species
AGAGCGAACGCUGGCGGCAUGCUUAACACAUGCAAGUCGCACGGGCAGGGGUAACUCUGUCAGUGGCGGACGGGUGAGUAACGCGUAGGUAUCUAUCCUCGGGUGGGGGACAACCACGGGAAACUGUGGCUAAUACCGCAUGAUGACUGAGGUCCAAAGGCGCAAGUCGCCUGGGAGAGCCUGCGUCCGAUUAGCUUGUGGUGGGGUAAAGACCUACCAAGGCUCCGAUCGGUAGCUGGUCUGAGAGGAUGAUCAGCCACACUGGGACUGAGACACGGGCCCAGACUCCUACGGGAGGCAGCAGUGGGGAAUAUUGGACAAUGGGCGAAAGCCUGAUCCAGCAAUGCCGCGUGGGUGAAGAAGGGUCUUCGGAUUGUAAAAGCCUUUCGACGGGACGAUGAUGACGGUACCCGUAGAAGAAGCCCCGGCUAACUUCGUGCCAGCAGCCGC